GAUGAACGCUGGCGGCGUGCUUAACACAUGCAAGUCGAACGGGAAUUACAUUUAGCUUGCUAAGUUGUAAUUCUAGUGGCGGACGGGUGAGUAACGCGUAGGUAACCUGCCUUAUACAGGGGGAUAACAGUUGGAAACGACUGCUAAUACCGCAUAAGCGCACAGGACCGCAUGGUCUAGUGUGAAAAACUCCGGUGGUAUAGGAUGGACCCGCGUCUGAUUAGCUAGUUGGUGAGGUAACGGCUCACCAAGGCGACGAUCAGUAGCCGACCUGAGAGGGUGACCGGCCACAUUGGGACUGAGACACGGCCCAAACUCCUACGGGAGGCAGCAGUGGGGAAUAUUGCACAAUGGGCGAAAGCCUGAUGCAGCGACGCCGCGUGAACGAAGAAGUAUUUCGGUAUGUAAAGUUCUAUCAGCAGGGAAGAAAAAUGACGGUACCUGACUAAGAAGCUCCGGCUAAAUACGUGCCAGCCGC
rnacentral:rRNA from 1 species